CGUGUAGGCGGUUGGGCAAGUCAGAUGUGAAAGCCUUCCGCUCAACGGAAGAAGGGCAUUUGAAACUACCCGGCUGGAGUACGGGAGAGGAGAGUGGAAUUCCCGGUGGUAGAGGUGAAAUUCGUAGAUAUCGGGAGGAACACCAGUGGCGAAGGCGGCUCUCUGGUCCGAUACCUGACGCUGAGACGCGAAAGCGUGGGGAGCAAACAGGGAUUAGAUACCCUGGUAGUCCACGCCGUAAACGAUGGGCACUAGGUGUAGGAGGUAUUGACCCCUUCUGUGCCGAAGCUAACGCAUUAAGUGCCCCGCCUGGGGAGUACGGCCGCAAGGCUAAA
rnacentral:rRNA from 1 species